rnacentral:rRNA from 1 species
UAACACGUGGGUAACCUGCCCUGAUGAUCGGGACAACCCGAGGAAACUCGGGCUAAUACCGAAUGUGCCCUCCGGCCACAAGGCCACUGGGGAAAGGAAGCUUCGGCCUCCGCAUCGGGAUGGGCCCGCGGCCCAUUAGCUUGUUGGUGAGGUAACGGCUCACCAAGGCAAUGAUGGGUAGCUGGUCUGAGAGGACGAUCAGCCACACUGGGACUGAGGCACGGCCCAG